AUUGAACGCUGGCGGCAGGCCUAACACAUGCAAGUCGAGCGGCAGCACAGAGAAACUUGUUUCUCGGGUGGCGAGCGGCGGACGGGUGAGUAAUGCCUGGGAAAUUGCCCUGAUGUGGGGGAUAACCAUUGGAAACGAUGGCUAAUACCGCAUGAUGCCUACGGGCCAAAGAGGGGGACCUUCGGGCCUCUCGCGUCAGGAUAUGCCCAGGUGGGAUUAGCUAGUUGGUGAGGUAAGGGCUCACCAAGGCGACGAUCCCUAGCUGGUCUGAGAGGAUGAUCAGCCACACUGGAACUGAGACACGGUCCAGACUCCUACGGGAGGCAGCAGUGGGGAAUAUUGCACAAUGGGCGCAAGCCUGAUGCAGCCAUGCCGCGUGUGUGAAGAAGGCCUUCGGGUUGUAAAGCACUUUCAGUUGUGAGGAAGGUGGUGUCGUUAAUAGCGGCAUCAUUUGACGUUAGCAACAGAAGAAGCACCGGCUAACUCCGUGCCAGCAGCCGCGGUAAUACGGAGGGUGCGAGCGUUAAUCGGAAUUACUGGGCGUAAAGCGCAUGCAGGUGGUUUGUUAAGUCAGAUGUGAAAGCCCGGGGCUCAACCUCGGAACUGCAUUUGAAACUGGCAGACUAGAGUACUGUAGAGGGGGGUAGAAUUUCAGGUGUAGCGGUGAAAUGCGUAGAGAUCUGAAGGAAUACCGGUGGCGAAGGCGGCCCCCUGGACAGAUACUGACACUCAGAUGCGAAAGCGUGGGGAGCAAACG
rnacentral:rRNA from 1 species